UCGCAUCUGUGCAUGCAGCAUAUCAAUAAGCGGAGGAAAAGAAACUAACAAGGAUUCCCCUAGUAACGGCGAGUGAAGCGGGAAGAGCUCAAAUUUGAAAUCUUAAAGGGUUUCCCUUUACGAAUUGUAGUUUAAAGAAGUGUUUUCUGUUGAGGUUUUGGUAAAAGUUCUUUGGAAUAGGACAUCAUAGAGGGUGAGAAUCCCGUAUUUGACUUAUUCAUUCUAACUUUGUGAUACACUUUCAAAGAGUCGGAUUGUUUGGGAAUGCAGUCCAAAAUGGGUGGUAAAUUUCAUCUAAAGCUAAAUAUUGGCGAGAGACCGAUAGCGAACAAGUACCGUGAGGGAAAGAUGAAAAGAACUUUGAAAAGAGAGUUAAACAGUACGUGAAAUUGUCAAAAGGGAAGCGUUUGACACCAGUGUUGUUUUUCUGAAAAUCAAUUAAAGAACUGUUUAUGCUAAGUUGUUUAGACUUUAUCAGCUAUCUGCUUUAGUUUUGAGCUUUUCUUUAAUGCACUUUUCAGUUAACAAGUCAACAUCAAUUUCUUUUGCUGUAAAAAAGCUUGAGGAAGGUGGCUUGAGAUUCGUCUUAAGUGUUUAUAGCCUCUUGCCUAUGCAGUCGGAGAGAUUGAGGUCUGCAGCGUAGAUCCUUCGGGGCUAAAUGCAUUUGUGCUAAGUUAUAGCAUUUUAUAGACAACUUGUUGACUAUGAUUUGUCUUGUAGCUUACUCGCUUAUGUUAUUUUACCUACGCUUAGGAUGUUGAGCGCAUGUCUCUCUCU
rnacentral:rRNA from 1 species